CAGCGCCACGAGUGGCAAUCGCGAUUAUUGGGCCUAAAGCGUUCGUAGCCGGUUUGGCAAAUCUUUUGUGAAAGCGUCAGGCUUAACUUGACGAGUUGCAGAAGACACUACCAAACUAGGGACCGGGAGGAGUCAGAAGUAUUCCGGGGGGACCGGUAAAAUGGUAUAAUCCCCGGAGGACUACCGAUGGCGAAGGCAUCUGACCAGAACGGAUCCGACGGUGAGGAACGAAAGCUAGGGGAGCGAACCGGAUUAGAUACCCGAGUAGUCC
rnacentral:rRNA from 1 species